rnacentral:rRNA from 1 species
AUGGCUGCCCGAGCUAUGAGAAUAAUCGGCCUCCAACCGCCUCGGCCGCUCACCAACACGCCCACCUGCAGUUCAGUUCAAUCUGGUUUGUUGAAGAAGGUCGACUCUAUCCUGGACAGCACACAGCCUCCUCCCAGUGGGGCCCAUCACGCUCAGGUCGUUCGUCGCUGCCACCUCCGGCCGUUCAACUACGCAGCGCUAAGACGUUCAUCGCCAUCAGAAACAGCGACGAGCACGAAGACACCCCCUCAUGCUCAGUGCUCUGUCCGGCAUAACACAAGAAGUUCAUGUAAAACAGCUGCGAACAUUCAGGUACAUCAAAGAAUAUACUCAUGUGCAUAUAGAUGA